rnacentral:rRNA from 1 species
GACGUAGGGCGCGAGCGUUGUCCGGAUUUAUUGGGCGUAAAGAGCUCGUAGGCGGCUUGUCGCGUCGUCUGUGAAAUCCCGCGGCUCAACCGCGGGUCUGCAGUCGAUACGGGCAGGCUAGAGUUCGGUAGGGGAGACUGGAAUUCCCGGUGUAGCGGUGAAAUGCGCAGAUAUCGGGAGGAACACCGGUGGCGAAGGCGGUUCUCUGGGCCUUACCUGACGCUGAGGAGCGAAAGCGUGGGGAGCGAACAGG